AUAAAAUUUUAGCAAAUCGGGGGGACACCGGCUCACUCGCUCCCUCCCUCCAACGCUGAUAAGUGCCCAAGAGUUCAAUUGCUGGGUCAUAUGAUUAAAGGAUGAUGUUUGGAAAAGUUUCCUGGCAGUUGUGUGGCUUAAAGAAACUCCCAUGGUCAUGUGACUCCAGAUACUUCUUGGGCUGGUUGAAUACAGUGUUUAAUAAAGUGGAUUAUGAACGCAUUAAGGAUGUCGGCCCCGACAGGGCAGCAUCCGAGUGGCUGUCGCGAUGUGGGGCCAUGCAUGAGAGGUGACACAAGAACUACAACAACCUCCCAACAGGCUCUCUAGACAAAUACAAGAUUCAAGCCAUCGAUGCCACAGACACUUGUAUCAUGAAUAUCGAAUUUGAUCACAUGGACGACUUAGAGCAUGCUGAAAAAAUGAGACUAUGCAAGUGUCAUUAUAUCGAGGAUGACUGUUUGCAGAAAAUCGGUCAACUUGAAAAAUUACAAAAGAGCUUAUUGGAAAUGGAAAUAAUUUCCUGUGGGAAUAUCACAGACAAAGGCAUCAUUGCUUUGAGUAAUUUAAGAAACCUCAAGUAUUUGUUGUUAAGUGAUCUUCCUGGAGUUAAAGAAAAAGAAAAUCUUGUCCAAGCCUUUAAGACAGCACUGCCUUCUCUGGAACUAAAAUUAGACUUGAAGUAAAAUAAUAAGUGUCUUAUUUGAGUAUAAAAGAUCAUUUGAAAUUGUUGAUCCUAAAUAGCAACAAAUAUUAUACAAUCACCAAUAGAAUUAUAAGGAUGUCAUAUCAUGACAUUGUAGAAGUAGAGAAUCCACCAUAUGCAGAAAAUAAAUAUUCAGAUGCACUCA